AAGACAUGGUCAUUUUGAAAAUUGUGGUCUUAGAUCAUGAAUUGUAUUUUCAAAAUGCAUUGCUAACACAACUCCACAUGUUUGUUUAUUGGAAAGAACAUCACAAAGGGUGACAAUCCCAUGUGUCAUGUGUAUGUUUUGUGUACAGCGUGCAUUAUAUGAAUCACAUUCAUUGACAAUUGAAUGCAAAUAGAAUGGUAAAUUUCAUUUAAUCAUAAAUAUGUUGUUGACAACUUAUAGCAAACAAAUACCAUGAGGGAAAUGUGAAAAGGAUUUUGAAAAGAAAAUUAAAAGAGCUUGCAAUUGCUGAACUGAUAAGCAAACAAAACAUACGUGUGUAUGCAAGAUUGUUGUAAUGCUUAGCAUCCUAUGCAAGGCUAUUGCAAUGAUUUUUUGUAUAGUGAUGCUACCUUUUUUUAGAAUUUGGAAUGUCUUUUUUUGAGUGUGAAUGGAAUUUUGUUUGUUAGCAAAGGAAUGCACUUUUAGAUUCAUUGUUUGAUUUGAUUUAAAAAUGUUUGUGACACGUGUCUUUGUUUUAGUUUCAUGCUUCAACCAAGGACAUUGUGUUUGAUCCAUAUCAGCAAUACAUGUUUUGUUUGACCCGU
rnacentral:rRNA from 1 species